rnacentral:rRNA from 1 species
AACGAAUGCUGGCGGCAGGCCUAACACAUGCAAGUCGAGCGAGCCCUUCGGGGCUAGCGGCGGACGGGUGAGUAACGCGUGGGAACGUGCCCUUCUCUACGGAAUAGCCUCGGGAAACUGAGAGUAAUACCGUAUAAGCCCUUCGGGGGAAAGAUUUAUCGGGGAAGGAUCGGCCCGCGUUGGAUUAGGUAGUUGGUGGGGUAAUGGCCUACCAAGCCGACGAUCCAUAGCUGGUUUGAGAGGAUGAUCAGCCACACUGGGACUGAGACACGGCCCAGACUCCUACGGGAGGCAGCAGUGGGGAAUCUUAGACAAUGGGGGAAACCCUGAUCUAGCCAUGCCGCGUGAGUGACGAAGGCCUUAGGGUCGUAAAGCUCUUUCGCUGGGGAAGAUAAUGACGGUACCCAGUAAAGAAACCCCGGCUAACUCCGUGCCAGCAGCCGCAGUAA